GACGAACGCUGGCGGCGUGCUUAACACAUGCAAGUCGAACGGAAAGGCCCUGCUUUUGUGGGGUGCUCGAGUGGCGAACGGGUGAGUAACACGUGAGUAACCUGCCCUUGACUUUGGGAUAACUUCAGGAAACUGGGGCUAAUACCGGAUAGGAGCUCCUGCUGCAUGGUGGGGGUUGGAAAGUUUCGGCGGUUGGGGAUGGACUCGCGGCUUAUCAGCUUGUUGGUGGGGUAGUGGCUUACCAAGGCUUUGACGGGUAGCCGGCCUGAGAGGGUGACCGGCCACAUUGGGACUGAGAUACGGCCCAGACUCCUACGGGAGACAGUAGUGGGGAAUAUUGCACAAUGGGCGGAAGCCUGAGGCAGCAACGCCGGGUGCGGGAUGACGGCCUUCGGGUUGUAAACCGCUUUCGCAUGUGACGAAGCGUGAGUGACGGUAAUGGGUAAAGAAGCACCGGCUAACUACGUG
rnacentral:rRNA from 1 species